rnacentral:lncRNA from 1 species
GAAGAUCAGUUACCCAACAAAAUAACAUCAAUUUAUUUAGACUAAUUGUUUUUAUGACUACAGACAGUAGGCUAAUAUUCCUAUUUUCUUGCAUUAAUUCAUUUGUCUGCAUGUCUAUUCAACAUUUGGCAAAAAAAUUAACCAUGCCAUGAAUUAAGAACGAUCAACAUAUUUUUUUCUUCACAAUGCAAUGCGGCACAUUGACAACUCAAAUCGCUUUAAAGAGCCUUCUAAUAUUAGACAACAAAUAAAUAAACUAAAACAACUUCAAAAACAGUCCAUUCAUAACUGGAUUUCUUCAAAUUGCUGUGCAGGAAAAGGAUGUCAUCCACCGUGCCUGGUCGCAGGCUCGCUGCUGGCUUCUCUCUGAAACCACACAUCCAUCUGUAGGUGACGCCUUAUCCUUUGGAACCACGCAAUUACCAGGUGGACAGUAGGCCUCUUGAAGCAGUAGAGGAAAUCAACAAGAUCCGUGAAGUACUCAGAAAAAACACCACUGAUCUCGAAAAGAGGCGUAACAUUCUGAGAAAUUCACAAUUCAGGGCAAUCAUAUCUACCUACGGGGGAAGGAUGGCCAGACACACAGGACGGUGAUUUCUACUAAGGAGGAGAGGAGGCCGUGCUGACCGAGAUGCAUGCUGGCCAUUUCGCAGUGAAGCGCAUGAUUGCCAAAAUCAACCUACGCUUCUUCUGACGGGGAAUUGUCAAGAAGGUGGACAGCUGGGCAAGUGAAAUAACCUUUUGUUUAUCAAUCACAGGGUUCAAUUCUCGGGCCGACUUUCUUCUCUGUAUACAUCAAUGAUGUCGCUCUUGCUGUUGGUGAUUCUCUGAUCCACCUCUACGCAGAUGACACCAUUCUGUAUACUUCUGGCUCUUCUUUGGACACUGUUAUCUAACCUCCAGACGAGCUUCAAUGCCAUACAACUCUCCUUCCGUGGCCUCCAACUGCUCUUAAAUGCAAGUAAAACUAAAUGCAUACUCUUCAACCGAUCGCUGCCCGCACCUGCCCGCCCGUCCAGCAUCACUACUCUGGACGGUUCUGACUUAGAAUAUGUGGACAACUACAAAUACCUAGGUGUCUGGUUAGACUGUAAACUCUCCUUCCAGACUCACAUUAAGCAUCUCCAAUUCAAAAUUAAAUCUAAAAUUGGCUUCCUAUUUUGCAACAAAGCAUCCUUCAUUCAUGCUGCCAAACAUACCCUUGUAAAACUGACCAUCCUAUCCAUCCUCGAUUUCGGCGAUGACAUUUACAAGAUAGCCUCCAACACUCUAUUCAACAAACUGGAUGCGGUCUAUCACAGUGCCAUCCAUUUUGUCACCAAAGCCCCAUAUACUACCCACCACUGCGACCUGUACGCUCUCGUUGGCUGGCCCUUGCUUCAUACUCGUCGCCAAACCCACUGGCUACAGGUCAUCUACAAGUCUUUGCUAGGUAAAGCCCCGCCUUAUCUCAGCUCACUGGUCACCAUAGCAGCACCCACCCGUAGCACACUCUCCAGCAGGUAUAUUUCACUGGUCACCUCCAAAGCCAAUUCCUCCGUUGGCCGCCUUUCUUUCCAGUUCUCUGCUGCCAAUGACUGGAACGAACUGCAAAAAUCACUGAAGCUGGAGACUCAUCUCCCUCACUAGCUUUAAGCACCAGCUGUCAGAGCAGCUCACAGAUCACUGCACCUGUACAUAGCCCAUCUGUAAAUAGCACAGCAUAGCCCAAUAUCAUACUGUAUUUAUUUAUUUAUUUAUCUUGCUCCUUUGCACCCCAGUAUCUCUACUUGCACAUUCAUCUUUUGCACAUCUAUCACUCCAGUGUUUAAUUGCUAUAUUGUAAUUACUUCGCCACCAUGGCCUAUUUAUUGCCUUACCUCCCUUACCUCAUUUGCACACACUGUAUAUAGACUUUUUCUACUGUAUUAUUGACUGUAUUUUUGUUUAUUCCAUGUGUAACUCUGUUGUAUGUGUCGAACUGCUUUGCUUUAUCUUGGCCAGGUCGCAGUUGUAAAUGAGAACUUGUUCUCAACUAGCCCACCUUGUUAAAUGAAGAUCAGUACACUGUGUAGCCUGCCAGAAGUUUGAGAGGGCGAAGACUGUGGCGCCGGAGUUGAAGCCCAUCAAAGUUGUUUCACCAUGGCACAUGAUCGGACGAGACUGGCAAGGCCACCUCCAAGGCGAUGGUGGACAUCUGCAACACACAUGGUUCUCCUGAGGUCAUCUUGAGUGACCGAGGUCAUGAGCGCUGGAACAAGGUUUGGUGAAUGGACCAUCCAGACCCUCAAGGCUGCCAUGGACAAGUCCCUUGAUUGGUACCUGGAAGAGUGGGAGAAAAACCUGAAAGUAAUUCUCUUUGCACACAACAGCAGCAUCCAGGCCUCCACAAACAAAGAUAACUGAAACCCCACUUGAUGUGAUGGAAGUUGUCGAACCAGAUCUGAAUGCCUUCGAGGUCCAGUUCAGGCAUGGACUGAGAAGGAUGUGGUUUUUGACCAGGUGAGACUGAACAUGGACAAGGCGCAGGAAAAACAGAAGGAGAGCUACCGAAGCAGAAUCAAGAAGGGGACCAAGUGCUACGACAUCCGGGCAAUUUACUUGGCUUGGAAGAAGGACGAAAGGAAGGCGAGACCUGGGAAACCUCGCUGUUUUUUCGCUCCUAGCUGGGGUCACCAUCUGUUAAAGGUUACCUCAGCGGAAGUCAACAAUCUUCUACAGUUGGAGCAGUUUGACGGUCGACCACUGAAAGCAGUGACGCCCUACACUUCAGUGAAGCCCAAUAGACAAAGACCAUCGACUGUCCGAGCCCCCCCAGGAGGUAUCCCAUCCACCAGAACCAGUGAGUCCGGAUCAGUCUGAUUCUCUGUGCGCUGAGUCGGAGGGGGACCAGCUUGAGGAGCUGGAGGUUCUGCCCAACACCCAGACAUGGAUCCACCUGAUGUCCUCCAUUACCAACCACCCUCCAACUUUUCAUUAAAUAUUCUACAGCUACUGAUGUUGUCAUUAUCUGCUAAGAAAGUGAGAUAAUAUAUGAGAUAAAUCAAAUCGUAUUGGUCACAUACACGUGUUUAGCAGAUGUUAUUGAGGGUGUAGUGAAAUGCCUGAGUUUCUAGCUCCGACAGUGCAGUAAUAUCUAACAAGUAACAUCUAACAAUUUCACAACAUAUACACACAAAUCUAAGUAAAGGAAUGGAAUUAAGAAUAUAUAAAUGUAUGGAUGAGCAAUGUCAGUGGCAUAGACUAAGAUUCAGUAGAAUGGUAUAGAAUACAGUAUAUACAUAUGAGAUGGGUAAUGCAAGAUAUGUAAACAUUACAUUUUACAUUUUACAUUUAAGUCAUUUAGCAGACGCUCUUAUCCAGAGCGACUUACAAAAUGGUGCAUUCACCUUAUGAUAUCCAGUGGAACAACCACUUUACAAUAGUGCAUCUAAAUCUUUUAAGGGGG